GACGAACGCUGGCGGCGGGCUUAACACAUGCAAGUCGAACGGAAAGGCCCUGCUUUUGUGGGGUGCUCGAGUGGCGAACGGGUGAGUAACACGUGAGUAACCUGCCCUUGACUUUGGGAUAACUUAAGGAAACUGGGGCUAAUACCGGAUAGGAGCUCCUGCUGCAUGGUGGGGGUUGGAAAGUUUCGGCGGUUGGGGAUGGACUCGCGGCUUAUCAGCUUGUUGGUGGGGUGGUGGCUUACCAAGGCUUUGACGGGUAGCCGGCCUGAGAGGGUGACCGGCCACAUUGGGACUGAGAUACGGCCCAGACUCCUACGGGAGGCAGCAGUGGGGAAUAUUGCACAAUGGGCGGAAGCCUGAUGCAGCAACGCCGCGUGCGGGAUGACGGCCUUCGGGUUGUAAACCGCUUUCGCCUGUGACGAAGCGUGAGUGACGGUAAUGGGUAAAGAAGCACCGGCUAACUACGUG
rnacentral:rRNA from 1 species